GUGGACGCCAGUCUGCAUGGAGCCGACCUUGAAAUACCACCCUUUAAUGUUUGAUGUUCUAACGUGGACCCGUUACCCGGGUUGCGGACAGUGUCUGGUGGGUAGUUUGACUGGGGCGGUCUCCUCCUAAAGAGUAACGGAGGAGCACGAAGGUUGGCUAAUCCUGGUCGGACAUCAGGAGGUUAGUGCAAUGGCAUAAGCCAGCUUGACUGCGAGCGUGACGGCGCGAGCAGGUGCGAAAGCAGGUCAUAGUGAUCCGGUGGUUCUGAAUGGAAGGGCCAUCGCUCAACGGAUAAAAGGUACUCCGGGGAUAACAGGCUGAUACCGCCCAAGAGUUCAUAUCGACGGCGGUGUUUGGCACCUCGAUGUCGGCUCAUCACAUCCUGGGGCUGAAGUAGGUCCCAAGGGUAUGGCUGUUCGCCAUUUAAAGUGGUACGCGAGCUGGGUUUAGAACGUCGUGAGACAGUUCGGUCCCUAUCUGCCGUGGGCGCUGGAGAACUGAGGGGGGCUGCUCCUAGUACGAGAGGACCGGAGUGGACGCAUCACUGGUGUUCGGGUUGUCAUGCCAAUGGCACUGCCCGGUAGCUAAAUGCGGAAGAGAUAAGUGCUGAAAGCAUCUAAGCACGAAACUUGCCCCGAGAUGAGUUCUCCCUGAGACUUAAAGUCUCCUGAAGGAACGUUGAAGACGACGACGUUGAUAGGCCGGGUG
rnacentral:rRNA from 1 species